AAACGCUGGCGGCGUGCUAAAACUGCAGAUUAACGAAGCACUUCGGUGCUUAGCUGGCGAACUAGUGAGUACACGUAUGUACCUGCCCUCAAGACGAGGAUAACCGUUGGAAACGAUGGCUAAGACUGGAUAGGAACCGAGGAGGCAUCUCUUUGGUUUUAAAGGACCUGGCAACAGGUACGCUUGAGGAGGGGCCUGCGGCGCAUUAGUUAGUUGGCGGGGUGAAGGCCCACCAAGACGAUGAUGCGUAGCCGGACUGAGAGGUUGAACGGCCACAUUGGGACUGAGAGACGGCCCAAACUCCUACGGGAGGCAGCAGUAGGGAAUUUUCGGCAAUGGAGGAAACUCUGACCGAGCAACGCCGCGUGAAUGACGAAGUACUUCGGUAUGUAAAGUUCUUUUAUCAGGGAAGAAUGACUCGUGGAAAAGCGAGAGUGACGGUACCUGAUGAAUAAGCCCCGGCUAACUAUGUGCCAGCAGCCGCGGUAAUACAUAGGGGGCGAGCGUUAUCCGGAAUUAUUGGGCGUAAAGGGUGCGUAGGCGGUUAUUUAAGUCUUUGGUGUACAGUGCAAUGCUCAACCUUGUGAUGCUAAGGAAACUGGAUAACUUGAGUGUGGUAGAGAGCAGUGGAAUUCCAUGUGUAGCGGUAAAAUGCGUAAAUAU
rnacentral:rRNA from 1 species